GACGGGGGAUGCAAGUGUUAUCCGGAAUCACUGGGCGUAAAGCGUCUGCAGGUGGUUUCCUAAGUCCACUGUUAAACCUUGAGGCUCAACCUCAAAUCUGCAUUGGAAACUAGGAGACUUGAGUAUAGUAGGGGUAGAGGGAAUUUCCAGUGGAGCGGUGAAAUGCGUAGAUAUUGGGAAGAACACCGAUGGCGAAGGCACUCUACUGGGCUAUUACUGACACUCAGAGACGAAAGCUAGGGGAGCAAAUGGG
rnacentral:rRNA from 1 species